rnacentral:hammerhead_ribozyme from 1 species
AGCUUGAUGAUGAGUCCGAAAUAGGACGAAGUGACGCACUUCCUAGAU